UGGGGAAUAUUGGACAAUGGGGGAAACCCUGAUCCAGCCAUGCCGCGUGAGUGAUGAAGGCCCUAGGGUUGUAAAGCUCUUUUGUGCGGGAAGAUAAUGACGGUACCGCAAGAAUAAGCCCCGGCUAACUUCGUGCCAGCAGCCGCGGUAAUACGAAGGGGGCUAGCGUUGCUUGGAAUCACUGGGCGUAAAGGGUGCGUAGGCGGAUCUUUAAGUCAGGGGUGAAAUCCCGGGGCUCAACCCCGGAACUGCCUUUGAUACUGGAGAUCUUGAGUUCGGGAGAGGUGAGUGGAACUGCGAGUGUAGAGGUGAAAUUCGUAGAUAUUCGCAAGAACACCAGUGGCGAAGGCGGCUCACUGGCCCGAUACUGACGCUGAGGCACGAAAGCGUGGGGAGCAAACA
rnacentral:rRNA from 1 species